rnacentral:tRNA from 1 species
GGUAGCGUGGCCGAGUUGGUCUAAGGCGUUGGAUUUAAGUCCCUUCUGAAUCCCAAUGGGCGUAAGCCCGCGCGAGUUCGAACCUCGCCGCUACCA